rnacentral:rRNA from 1 species
GGCGGACGGGUGAGUAAUGCUUAGGAAUCUGCCUAUUAGUGGGGGACAACAUUCCGAAAGGAAUGCUAAUACCGCAUACGUCCUACGGGAGAAAGCAGGGGAUCUUCGGACCUUGCGCUAAUAGAUGAGCCUAAGUCGGAUUAGCUAGUUGGUGGGGUAAAGGCCUACCAAGGCGACGAUCUGUAGCGGGUCUGAGAGGAUGAUCCGCCACACUGGGACUGAGAUACGGGCCAGACUCCUACGGGAGGCAGCAGUAGGGAAUAUUGGGCAAUGGUCGCAAGACUGACCCAGCCAUGCCGCGUGCAGGAAGACGGCCCUUGGGUUGUAAACUGCUUUUAUCUGGGAAGAAAAAGUCCAUGCGUGGAAAAUUGCCGGUACCAGAUGAAUAAGCACCGGCUAACUCCGUGCCAGCAGCCGCGGUAAUACGGAGGGUGCAAGCGUUGUCCGGAUUUAUUGGGUUUAAAGGGUGCGUAGGCGGCUGAAUAAGUCAGCGGUGAAAGACUUCGGCUUAACCGGAGCAGUGCCGUUGAUACUGUUUAGCUUGAGUGUUGGAGGGGUACAUGGAAUUGAUGGUGUAGCGGUGAAAUGCAUAGAUACCAUCAGGAACACCGAUAGCGAAGGCAUUGUACUGGCCAACAACUGACGCUGAGGCACGAAAGUGUGGGGAUCGAACAGGAUUAGAUACCCUGGUAGUCCACACCGUAAACGAUGAUUACUCGCUGUUAUGGUGUAUGCUGUAGCGGCCAAGCGAAAGCGUUAAGUAAUCCACCUGGGGAGUACGCCGGCAACGGUGAAACUCAAAGGAAUUGACGGGGGUCCGCACAAG